GGAGAACGCGGCCGGCAGCCGCCGCACGCGCGCGCAGCGCCGCUCGGCGUGUUCGCCGCGCCUCUCCGCUGUUUCGGUCACGGGGCCCCGGCUCCAGUCCAGCGCGGGCCGGAGUGUGCGCUCGCCCCUGCGGACGGAGCCUGGAGGAGCGGAGCUGCGGCGAGCCCCGGAGCGGGGUUGCGGCACGUCGUUGGCGGGAGGUCGGCUCCUGUUGCGGCAGGCGUGGCCCGGAGCGCCGGGCAGCCCCUCCAAAGGGGACAUCUUGAAGACAAGCAGCCAGACGUAGUGAUCUAGGUGUUCACUUUGGUCGUCACCAGUGAGGCAGGCAUCUGAGCAUAAGAGGAAUCUGCAAGCCACUUCAAAAAGGCAUUCAGAACAUCAUGAAACGACUGUAUGCUGCCAUGAAGAACUAUGGGCUACCGCCAUCAGACCUUUGUAAGUUAUCACAUGUCAGGAGCAGCCAGGAGGAUCCAAAUGUCAGCGGAAAGGUUCUCCUCCUGGUCCCAACAAGGAGCCUUCGGCUGUAGGAAGGUUGGCCGCGUUCUUACCAGACUUGUGAGUAAUAAACCACAAUUCACGGACCAGCAAAGGAAGGGGGGAACAGCGACGGGUAGCCCAGUCAUUGUGGCAUUGCUGUUGCUAGCAGGACCACCAGGUCUGUGUGAAGCCUCAGCUGCCUCUUUGGAGCUUUAUUCUGGUUUGUUUACCUGGAGGAAGCAGUGAGGCCUAAAAUAAGAUUUUUUGUGGCUAGAUGAGUAAGCUGUGACCUCACGUGUCUUUGCCUUGCUUUGCUGCUUUGUGUCGUAACAGCAACUUGGGAAUCCAGGAUAAAAACUGUUACAGUGCUUCAGGGAGGGGAGAGAUCUGCAUUUGCCCAGGUUAGGGAACUAUCAUUAAAGCUCUGGGAGGGAAAAAUCUCUAAACUGAGGGUCUCCCAGGGACCUUGGUGGUUUGAUUCACAUAGAGGGUCAGUGUCAGGGUCUAGCAGUCUCUGACGAGCUUCUCUUAGAUAUUCCAUGCAUAUGGAGAGCACAAUGUUUGAUAUAAAGAUUUCAUUUAAAGGUAUUUGAUGUUACUUUUUUUUUUUAAGAGGAGUGAUAAAGUAAUAAACUGAAAUCACAAUACGAGUGUAAUUGGUAUUACCAGUCUCUACAACGUGCUCAUCGUCACGAUGAGUUGUUCAGGCUUCAUAAUCUGUAUUGGGCUGAGCCAUGUAUGCACUUCUCUCAUGCUGGUGUGGCUAAUCUCAGAGAGACAUUCACAUUCUUUGUUGAAUUUGGAUAGAAACGUUUUCACCAAUAUAUGGUUACUUAUCUAAAGCAAAGGUUAUCCUCUGACCCCCUUUGUGCUAAGAUCAAGUCAAUUCUCCGUGCCACAUUUGGGAUUACCAAUUUGCAUCUUAUACCAUUCCUGAGCAUCAGGGCAUCUUGCCUGUGUUCAUCUCCUCUGAGCCUUCUUUCAUUUAAAGGGGUUAUUGGUCGGUUACAGUCAGCCCUAGUUGUGGACUAGGGAGUAGUUCUAGGAGGGCUGUGCAGUUGCCUGGCCUCUCGGUAACUGUUCUGGCCUCUUAACAGGUGCUGAAGCAUCGUCUGGCAGUUGAAAGAGCAUUGUCACAGCUGGGAGCUCUCUGCAGAGAUCUGUGGCUGGCUGCAGAAGAUGAGCCCUGACUUGCAGCGUGGACACAGUUAAGUCCUGGGGCUGCGCUGUAUGUGAGCAAGGCUAGGAAGUUGCAGGUGGUUUGGCCUGUGGUGGUUACAGUUGUCACUGGCUGUGGAUGGUUGCCCAUGGAGCUGAGAUAAGCAAAAAUAUUAAUGGUCUGUAACAGAGAAGAAUUAUUGCUUGUGGCGUUUAGGUAUGUUUGGUGUUAGCACAGCUUAGUGCAGUCCAGUGGCAUGAUUCUUGCACAUGCUCACAUUUGAACGGUGGCUAAAAGCUAGCCUAUAAACAGCAACAGUAACAGGAUUCUGGUGCACACCUUCCUGUUCUGUUGCCCUUCUAAAUGAAGGGGAAACAUCUUUCCUUGCUUAAAGCUAAGGGUUUGGACUUUUUCACUUGAGGUUUAUUUAUUUUGUUGUUGAGGGUCUCUUACGCAGGGGUUAUGGUUUCUUAAUUAAUGAAAAGUCCAUAGAUAAUAAACUGUAAGCCCUGAAGCCUAGGCAACCUAAGGCUGCAAACCCUCGUUCGAGGUUUCUCAUCUUCCCCUGUACCCAGUGUUCAAUUCUGUGCACUGACCCAAGGUCUGGGUUUCGUGUGGUCCAGGCCCAUCCAUUGGGACUGGUGAUGUGACAGGCGAGCUGAGAGUUGUGGAAGUGUCCUGCAGGGCUCUGAUCGGGGGCAGGGCAAAAGCACAGACAGGUGAGAUCAGGUGUAGUCUUCUAAAUUCCCAGAGUUGAAUCCUAUCCCUGGAGGAAAAAGCAGAAAAGGAAAAAGCAGAAGGGGUAGGCCGUCAGCUACGCAGACACCUGCCACAUCAAGGGCAGCAGCAGGAGCUGACCCUUCCCUGACGGACGGACGGAUGCUGGUGAUGACUCUUCAGGUGUCACAGGGUAAGGGGAAGCAUGCUGGCACCCAGCUCCGUGGCAGACUCACUUCCAGGUCAUGUUUCUGCACAGUAAAACAAUAAAUAGUUGUUUUAUUCUUUGCA